rnacentral:rRNA from 1 species
UACAGAGGUGCCGAGCGUAGGCGGAAUCACUGGGCUUAAAAGCGUGUGUAGGCGGAUGCCUAAGUACCUUGUGAAAAUCCCACGGCUUAACCGUGGAACUGCUUGGUAUACUGGGUGUCUUGAGCCACUUAGGGGCUACCGGAACAAAUGGUGGAGCGGUGAAAAUGCGUAGAUAUCAUUUGGAACGCCAAUGGUGAAAACAGGUAGCUGGGAGUGUGCUG